CUUGGUAAACAAUGGGGAUUUUACUGUACUUAAUAGGAGUUUACAUUGCGAGAUUAUACUGUAAAAUUGAGUUACUCGGGCGGAAUAAUGGCAAAUCGUGACACGUCAAGAGUUUUGGAGAAUACUCGUCGAGGUAUUUUGUACAUUUCUAGACGUAAACACUUUGAAAAUUAUAUUUUGUUUCAGCAUGCGCAUCGCAUUUGUAUGAUUAUAGUAUUAAUUCUUAGCAUUUCCGCCAUCUUGAAUUCGCAAAAUUGGUCAGUUGUGCGCAUAGUUAGCGGCCAUACUGUCCCACAUUUCUGGCCAUGCUGAAGC